rnacentral:sRNA from 1 species
CUUCAGCAUAAAAGCUGAUCCACAAACCGCAGAGCACCAGACGUCCUCUUGGCUUCGAGAUGGCUUCGGUGAGUACCCCGGGGCUGGCUCCUCCAGUGUCUUCUCAGUCCUGAGCAACAGUGCAGAGGUGAAACGGGAGCGCCUGGAAGAUGUGGUGGGAGGCUGUUGCUAUCGGGUCAACAACAGCUUGGACCAUGAGUACCAACCACGGCCCGUGGAGGUGAUCAUCAGUUCUGCGAAGGAGAUGGUUGGUCAGAAGAUGAAGUACAGUAUUGUGAGCAGGAACUGUGAGCACUUUGUCACCCAGCUGAGAUAUGGCAAGUCCCGCUGUAAACAGGUGGAAAAGGCCAAGGUUGAAGUCGGUGUGGCCACGGCGCUUGGAAUCCUGGUUAUUGCUGGAUGCUCUUUUGCGAUUAGGAGAUACCAAAAAAAAGCGACAGCCUGAAGCAGCCACAAAAUCCUGUGUUAGAAGCAGCUGUGGGGGUCCCAGUGGAGAUGAGCCUCCCCCACGCCUCCAGCAGCCUGACCCUCGUGCCCUGUCUCAGGCAUUCUCUAGAUCCUUUCCUCUGUUUCCCUCUCUCGCUGGCAAAAGUAUGAUCUAAUUGAAACAAGACUGAAGGAUCAAUAAACAGCCAUCUGCCCCUUCAGAAA